rnacentral:rRNA from 10 species
AUCUAUGGCCAUACCACCCUGAAUGCGUCUGAUCUCAGAAGCUAAGCAGAGUCGGGCAUGGUUAGUACUUGGAUGGGAGAUGGCCUGGGAAUACUGGGUGCUGUAGGCU